rnacentral:rRNA from 1 species
UACGUAGGGUGCGAGCGUUGUCCGGAUUUAUUGGGCGUAAAGGGCUCGUAGGCGGCGUGUCGCGUCGGGAGUGAAAGACCGGGGCUUAACCCCGGUUCUGCUUCCGGUACGGGCAUGCUGGAGUGUGGCAGGGGAGACUGGAAUUCCUGGUGUAGCGGUGAAAUGCGCAGAUAUCAGGAAGAACACCCGUGGCUAAGGCGGCUCUCUAGUACGGUACUGACGCUGAGACGCGAAAGCGUGGGGAGCGAACAGG